rnacentral:rRNA from 1 species
UGCAGUCGACGGUAACAGGAGAAGCUUGCUGCUUUGCUGACGAGUGGCGGACGGGUGAGUAAUGUCUGGGAAACUGCCUGAUGGAGGGGGAUAACUACUGGAAACGGUAACUAAUACCGCAUAACGUCUCAAGACCAAAGAGGGGGACCUUCGGGCCUCUUGCCAUCGGAUGUGCCCAAAUGGGAUUAGCUUGUUGGUGGGGUAACGGCUCACCAAGGCGACGAUCCCUACCUGGUCUGAGAGGAUGACCAGCCACACUGGAACUGAUACACGGUCCAGACUCCUACGGGAGGCAGCAGUGGGGAAUAUUGCACAAUGGGCGCAAGCCUGAUGCAGCCAUGCCGCGUGUAUGAAGAAGGCCUUCGGGUUGUAAAGUACUUUCAGCGGGGAGGAAGGGAGUAAAGUUAAUACCUUUGCUCAUUGACGUUACCCGCAGAAGAAGCACCGGCUAACUCCGUGCCAUCAGCCGCGGUAAUACGGAGGGUGCAAGCGUUAAUCGGAAUUACUGGGCGUAUAGCGCACGCAGGCGGUUUGUUAAGUCAGAUGUGAAAUCCCCGGGCUCAACCUGGGAACUGCAUCUGAUACUGGCAAGCUUGAGUCUCGUUGAGGGGGGGUAGAAUUCCAGGUGUAGCGGUGGAAAUGCGUAGAGAUCUGGAAGAAUACCGGUGAGCGAAGGCGGCCCCCUGGACUAUCACUGACGCUCAUGUGCCGAAAGCGUGGGAGAGCAAACAGGAUUAGAUACCCUGGAAAGUCCACGCCGUACACGAUGUCGACUUGGAGGGUUGUGCCCUUG